rnacentral:lncRNA from 1 species
UUUCCAUCACAAGGCACGCUUCAGUGUGAACAUGUAAGCAACCGAGGGUAUUGGACGUCCUCAGAAGGACAGAGGGAAGUCCUAAGCAGCCUCUCUCCAUCUUCCUAUCUCUAUUCUCCAUCUAUUCAUUCAGAGCCUGGGUUGCACAGAGGAGAACAGACAAACUUUGAGGGGAAGACGGAGGCAAGGGACUGGAUGACCUUGGAGAGACCUUGAGAUCCAAGCAAUAGCACCGUGGCCCUAGCACCCAGCAGUAACAGGAGCUUGCAGGAGUCAAACAUCUGAAGAUGGGACGCCGCCUAAACGUGGCCUGACGAGUGGUGCCAUGUCCUUGCCCAGGAUCCGAACCAGCGAAACCCUGGGCCGCCGUCGCACGAACUUAACCACUAGGCCACGGGGCAUUGGUGGGUUCAUUUGCAACCAUUUAAAAUGCUUAAAAAUUGGAAUUUUUAACAUAAAAAUUGGAAACAUAACAUGUAAACUUUUUG